GACGAACGCUGGCGGCGCGCCUAACACAUGCAAGUCGAACGGAGCUGAGAGAAGCUUGCUUUUCUUAGCUUAGUGGCGAACGGGUGAGUAACGCGUGAGUAACCUGCCCUGGAGUGGGGGACAACAGUUGGAAACGACUGAUAAUACCGCAUAAGCCCACGAUCCGGCAUCGGAUUGAGGGAAAAGGAUUUAUUCGCUUCAGGAUGGACUCGCGUCCAAUUAGCUAGUUGGUGAGGUAACGGCCCACCAAGGCGACGAUUGGUAGCCGGACUGAGAGGUUGAACGGCCACAUUGGGACUGAGACACGGCCCAGACUCCUACGGGAGGCAGCAGUGGGGGAUAUUGCACAAUGGGGGAAACCCUGAUGCAGCGACGCCGCGUGGAGGAAGAAGGUUUUCGGAUUGUAAACUCCUGUCGUUAGGGACGAUAAUGACGGUACCUAACAAGAAAGCACCGGCUAACUACGUG
rnacentral:rRNA from 1 species